rnacentral:rRNA from 1 species
GGCUCAGAACGAACGCUGGCGGCGUGCUUAACACAUGCAAGUCGAACGAACCUUCGGGUUAGUGGCGGACGGGUGAGUAACGCGUGAGAAUCUGCCCUCAGGAGGGGGAUAACGGUUGGAAACGACCGCUAAUACCCCAUAUGCCGAGAGGUGAAAAGAAAUUCGCCUGAGGAUGAGCUCGCGUCUGAUUAGCUAGUUGGUGUGGUAAUGGCGCACCAAGGCUUCGAUCAGUAGCUGGUCUGAGAGGAUGAUCAGCCACACUGGGACUGAGACACGGACCAGACUCCUACGGGAGGCAGCAGUGG